rnacentral:lncRNA from 1 species
UAAAACUUAGGAGACAUUAUCAGUUAAAAUAAAGUUUACAUUUCAAAUUCCUUCUCUCUUCUAAAGAUUUUGUCUAAUUACUCCUUAAAUUUCUCAAUCUUUCUCUGUGAAUUCCCUUUCAUUAUACUCGUCCACAAUCAUUCUGUAGGUCGAAAUUGAUACACACUUUUUGGGUUAUUUUAGAGUUUUUGAUCGCUACAUUUAGUAUAUUUUCAUUUGAAUUUCUCAGCAUUUAAAAAAAAAUAAAUCCAAAUAUACGAUGGGAAAAGGUAUGAAGUGAAGAAAGGUUGUCAAAUCUUUAUAUUUUAUGUGAAUAAGGAUCCAAAAAUGUUCUUAAAGAUCACUGAAUGUGUUGGAGUCCCACAUCGGUGGGUUAAAGGGUCCUUGGUCUCAUUAUAUUGUCUUGGAUAAUUUUCCUCUCAUGAACUAGCUUUUGAGGUUGAGUUAGACCCAAGGUCCAUUUGUUUAUAAUGGUAUUAGAGCUAGGCCCACUCAGUUCAUUGUUUUCGAUGUUGGGCCCCCCCAUUUUAUGUUAUCCAUGCUCCAGAUGUCCAGCUCUAGGUGUGCGGGGGUGUUGGAGUUCCACAUCGGUGUAUUAAAGGGUCCUUGGUCUCCUUAUAUGGUCUUGAGCAAUCCUCCAGGUUGAGUUAGUCCCAAGGUCCAUUUCUUUAUCAGAAUGUUAGUUUAAUUUUUUUUUUUUUUGAUAUGUGUCUUUAUGAUUUGUUUUGGCCGGACAACAUUGGGUUUAAUUGAAAACGUCUCAAGGAGUUUCAAUUAUCAAUUUUGGAGACGAUUUGCGGCGUAUUGAAAUAAAAUUUCAUGUUGAAAAUCAUUUAUGUAUAUCCACUGUAUCCACACACACAUUGAAAAAGGAAAAAUUACACACCAUAGAUAAAAUAAUUUGUUAAUUACAUGAUAUGAUUAAGAUUUUAAAAAAUUACCCUACACAGUUAUUUGUUAGUUAUAAAACUAUUUUUUGUGGGCUCCUAUAUAUAAAUAUAAUAUACAAUGUAUAUAGCAAAUAAUACUCUCUCUCAUGUAAUUACUUUUUCAUAAUCUCUCUUUUAUGUAAUUGACUAAUUUUGUGCCAUUAACUUAUGCACACUGCUUCAAUAUUCUAAAAAGAAAAGUUCUCCUAAAUCAGUCAAUUUUUUAUCUUCCCCUAAACAUUCAUUGUGGGUUUGGAUUGAAGAUUUUUUGGAGUAAUUUCUCAUCCAUAAACAUCAGUAGGAAUAUGCAUUGAAGAUUUUGCAGUAAUCUUUAAUUCUUUUGGGUAUAUAGAUUUGUUUUCUUUUGAUUUUUUAGGUAUUCUCUAAAUGAACCGCUAAGUUUCUUCAAAUUUCAUCUAUUUUCAUAGAAUAGAAUGUAUUAAUUAAAAAUCAAAUUGUAUAUUAGUGUCAAACACAGAAUAAAUAUUGAUGAAUUAUUAUCAUCAUUGGGUAUUUGAUCUAAUUUUAGCAAAUUUGAUAAUUGUAUAUCGGUGAUUUAAUUGUAUUCAGUUGCGUAGAUUUUUGUAUGUGGGUUAUGCAAAUUGUGUAUUUUUUUUUGUGUAUUUUUAUAUACAUAUGAAUGUAUUGGAUAUAUGUUUUUGAUGUAUAUAGGUAGAUUUUUGUAUAACUAUCUCUGUCUCUCUCUCUCUCUCUCUCUCUCUCUAUCUAUCUAUAUAUAUAAGUUUGUUUUGUGUUGGUACACAUAUGCUUAUGUAUGUGUUGGUUCAUAUAUACAUUAUGCUUAUGAGUAUAAAUAUGUUCUACAUUUGUGUGUGUGUGUG